UAAGAUGCGCAGGACAUAGCUGGCUCGCAAGAGCUGGAGGAAAGUCCGGACUGCACGGGACAGCAUACCGGUUAACGGCCGGGCGGGGUGACCCGACGAUCAGAGGAACAGUGACGAAUCGAUUAAGUUCGAGUGAAACGGCCAAUCUCUAUGUGCAGCAACUUCAAAUAGGCCCCCAAUGACAGUCCCAGGAGGGGGCGGGUAGAAGGCUUGACGGCCAUGGGAACAUGGUUCGCAGACUAAUUAUGUCCACUACCCGGGCGUGGUUGUGAAAAGACUGGGCCCGUGGCAGGACAGAAUCCGGCUUAUCGUGCAUCUGCACGC
rnacentral:RNase_P_RNA from 1 species